rnacentral:rRNA from 1 species
CAGUAGGGAGGAAGGUAGUGUAGUUAACACCUGCAUUAUUUGACGUUACCUACAGAAGAAGCACCGGCUAACUCCGUGCCAGCAGCCGCGGUAAUACGGAGGGUGCGAGCGUUAAUCGGAAUUACUGGGCGUAAAGCGCAUGCAGGCGGCCUGUUAAGUCAGAUGUGAAAGACCCGGGGCGUUAACCUCGGAAUUGCAUUUGAAACUGGCAGGCUAGAGUCUUGUAGAGGGGGUAGGAAGUUUCUAGGUGUAGCGGUGAAAUAGCGUAGAGAUCUGAAGGAAUACCAGUGGCGAAGGCGGCCCCCUCGGACAAAGACUGACGCUCAGAUGCGAAAGCGUGGGGAGCAAACAGGAUUAGAUACCCUGGUAG